AUUGAACGCUGGCGGCAGGCCUUACACAUGCAAGUCGAACGGUAACAGGUUAAGCUGACGAGUGGCGAACGGGUGAGCAAUGUAUCGGAACGUGCCCAGUCGUGGGGGAUAACUGCUCGAAAGAGCAGCUAAUACCGCAUACGACCUGAGGGUGAAAGCGGGGGAUCGCAAGACCUCGCGCGAUUGGAGCGGCCGAUAUCAGAUUAGGUAGUUGGUGGGGUAAAGGCCUACCAAGCCUACGAUCUGUAGCUGGUCUGAGAGGACGACCAGCCACACUGGGACUGAGACACGGCCCAGACUCCUACGGGAGGCAGCAGUGGGGAAUUUUGGACAAUGGACGCAAGUCUGAUCCAGCCAUGCCGCGUGCGGGAAGAAGGCCUUCGGGUUGUAAACCGCUUUUGUCAGGGAAGAAAAGGUUCUGGUUAAUACCUGGGACUCAUGACGGUACCUGAAGAAUAAGCACCGGCUAACUACGUGCCAGCCGCCGCCGUAA
rnacentral:rRNA from 1 species